AUUCAACUGACGAGUUUUAAAUAGGACGAAACGCGCGUCAGACUGGAU
rnacentral:hammerhead_ribozyme from 1 species